rnacentral:rRNA from 1 species
CCUACGGGAGGCAGCAGUGAGGAAUAUUGGUCAAUGGACGAGAGUCUGAACCAGCCAAGUAGCGUGAAGGAUGACUGUCCUAUGGGUUGUAAACCUCUUUUAUAUGGGAAUAAAACGUUCCACGUGUGGGAUUUUGUAUGUACCAUAUGAAUAAGGAUCGGCUAACUCCGUGCCAGCAGCCGCGGUAAUACGGAGGAUCCGAGCGUUAUCCGGAUUUAUUGGGUUUAAAGGGAGCGUAGGUGGAUUGUUAAGUCAGUUGUGAAAGUUUGCGGCUCAACCGUAAAAGUGCAGUUGAAACUGGCGGGCUUGAGUACAGUAGAGGUAGGCGGAAUUCGUGGUGUAGCGGUGAAAUGCUUAGAUAUCGCGAAGAACUCCGAUUGCGAAGGCAGUUCACUGGACUGCAACUGACACUGAGGCACGAAAGUGUGGGUAUCGAACAGGAUUAGAUACCCGGGUAGUC